rnacentral:rRNA from 1 species
CCUACGGGUGGCAGCAGUAGGGAAUAUUGCUCAAUGGGGGAAACCCUGAAGCAGCAACGCCGCGUGGAGGAUGAAGGUUUUCGGAUUGUAAACUCCUUUUGUUAGAGAAGAUAAUGACGGUAUCUAACGAAUAAGCACCGGCUAACUCAGUGCCAGCAGCCGCGGUAAUACGGAGGGUGCAAGCGUUACUCGGAAUCACUGGGCGUAAAGAGCGCGUAGGCGGGAUAGCAAGUCAGAUGUGAAAUCCUAUGGCUUAACCAUAGAACUGCAUUUGAUACUGUUAUUCUAGAGUAUGGGAGAGGUAGGUGGAAUUCUUGGUGUAGGGGUAAAAUGCGUAGAGAUCAAGAGGAAUACUCAUUGCGAAGGCGACCUGCUAGAACAUAACUGACGCUGAUGCGCGAAAGCGUGGGGAGCAAACAGGAUUAGAUACCCCGGUAGUC